rnacentral:rRNA from 1 species
GGAAUAUUGCACAAGGGGCGCAAGCCUGAUGCAGCCAUGCCGCGUGUAUGGAAGGCCUUCGGGUUGUAAAGUACUUUCAGCGGGGAGGAAGGUGUUAAGGUUAAUAACCUUGUCAAUUGACGUUACCCGCAGAAGAAGCACCGGCUAACUCCGUGCCAGCAGCCGCGGUAAUACGGAGUGCAAGCGUUAAGGAUCGGAAUUACUGGGCGUAAAGCGCACGCAGGCGGUCUGUCAAGUCGGAUGUGAAAUCCCCGGGCUAACCUGGGAACUGCAUUCGAAACUGGCAGGCUAGAGUCUUGUAGAGGGGCCUGAAUUGGUAGAAUUCCAGGUGUAGCGGUGAAAUGCGUAGAGAUCUGGAGGAAUACCGGUGGCGAAGGCGGCCCUCCCCUGGACAAAGACUGACGCUCAUGCGAAAGCGGGGGAGCAAACAGGAUUAGUACCCUGGUAGUCCACGCCGUAAACGAUGUCGACUUGGAGGUUGUGCCC